rnacentral:rRNA from 1 species
CCUACGGGCGGCAGCAGUGAGGAAUAUUGGUCAAUGGACGAGAGUCUGAACCAGCCAAGUAGCGUGAAGGAUGACUGCCCUAUGGGUUGUAAACUUCUUUUAUAUGGGAAUAAAAUGUUCCACGUGUGGGAUUUUGUAUGUACCAUAUGAAUAAGGAUCGGCUAACUCCGUGCCAGCAGCCGCGGUAAUACGGAGGACCCGAGCGUUAUCCGGAUUUAUUGGGUUUAAAGGGAGCGUAGGUGGAUUGUUAAGUCAGUUGUGAAAGUUUGCGGCUCAACCGUAAAAUUGCAGUUGAAACUGGCAGUCUUGAGUACAGUAGAGGUGGGCGGAAUUCGUGGUGUAGCGGUGAAAUGCUUAGAUAUCACGAAGAACUCCGAUUGCGAAGGCAGUUCACUGGACUGCAACUGACACUGAGGCUCGAAAGUGUGGGUAUCAAACAGGAUUAGAUACCCGAGUAGUC